AGACUAUUUAAUAAAGAGCUGUUUUGGAAUAUCGCUUUGAUUUGCAAUAAUAAUCUUUUUUUGUGUUAGCUUUGGCGAUAUUAGACAGUUGAAAUAACUGCAAAAUGUUGCUAAUGAAUAAAAAAAGAACGUGGGCAGAGAAAUAUAUAGCAUUAUUUUUACCCCGACUUCAAUUGGAUUAUACCUUCUUUUUAGCGCACCAAAAGGAAAGUAUUCAAUUAUAUCCAUGAUUAUUCCAAUAAUAACGGGUGAUAAAAGGAAACCCACCAAAUUAAAACAGAAUUGUGCGAUGGCUGAUGCGAGUUGUCUUGUUUUGCUUGAUACACUUUUCAUUAUAACAAUGAUCGACAUUGGCAGUGUGCUAGUAAGGAAAAACAAAAUGAUAAUCAUACCCCAGAAAAAACUGAUGUAUGAACGAGUCCGGACCACCGCCAUUGAUAUAAUAAAUCCGAUAAAGGAAAGUAGUGUACAUAGUGUUAAUAUAAAUCCGAAGCCAUUUGGAUGACGAUCAUUAAUUAAGUCACCUGUAAUGCCUCCAAUAUAUACUCCGAGUGUUGGACCUGAAAGAUAAAUACAUGCAACUGAAAACACAGAUGUAAUUCUAUCUACUUUAAUGACUUCUACAAAAUAUUGAUUUAACCAAAAUAAAGUGCAUGUUGUGAAACAGUAAACUCCACAAACUGCAAAGGUUGAAAACAUAAAAAUGGGAUUUGUGCAGAUUUCUCUAACUUCAAAACUUUUUGAAGAGUUAGGACCAAUAGACUGAGAUGGGAUAAUUAGAAUACUGGAUCUCCUCAGUUUGCUAUUUCGCCUGUUUGAAUUACUUUCGUCUGGUAAUAGAUUAUCAUUAGUUGAUCUUCGUAGAUCAACACCUGAGACAAGAAGCCCUGUAGUUUUUGAAUAUUCAACUUCGCUAAGGCGUUCCUGAUCUCCUACAUCCAAAAUUUCUCCUGGAAUAAAUAUUAAAACAAUUAUUAUUGGGAUGAUUAAUGCAGAUUGAAUAAUAAAAGGCCCUCGCCAGGAAACAAACAAUGAACUGAUUUUUUCGCUAAGUGACAUGUAAUAAAUACUAAUAUCUUCAGCAGUAAAACAAGUUAAGACCCCUCCGAGUAAAUAUCCAAAAAAUAUUCCAAUCAUACUAAAUAACUGUUGAUAUGCAAGCCAUGUAGUCAUGUUAGAUUGAGGAGAAAAUCUCUCAACCCAUAGGGGAAGGUAAACAAUUGAAAAUGCCUGGAAAAAACCAAUAAAGAAUCUGGAUGCAUAAAUUUCUGCUAAAGUUAGCGAUUUUGAUGAAUAGAUUCCACUGAUUGCCACACAUACUAGCGAACCAAUAAGUAAUACCUUAGAUUUCAACACCGGCAAAAAUAAUCCAGUUAAUAAACAACCAAUUAAAAAACCCAUAUAGACCAUUGACCCAAUAAAACUUGAUUGUGCAUAUCCUACUCCGAAGCUUUUCUCUAUAUUUUCAAGAUUACACGCAACAAAACCAUGAUCUAAACAAAGGAUUGUUGAAAUUAAUAUGCUCAAUAGAAAUGUUAUCUUUAUUAAUUUUGGAUUAAAUUCUUUACCUGAGUUUUUAUUAGAUAUUGAGAAAUCCAAACCAUCAUUUGUUAUUUCUCCUUCAAAGAGUGACACAUACAACCCCUGCAAAGUAGGGAAAGAAGUCCUUCUGGAUGAUCUUCUCACAACAGAUAAAUAAUAAUUAUUACUAUUGGCCUCAACUUCCAUUUUUCAACUUAAAUGAUUCUUUAACUUAAAGAUGUGCUGAUUUCACAAAAAAAUGCGCGCCCCUCACAAAAAUUUUAUGAAAAUAUGAAUAAUAAAAUUAGUGGGAAUACGUUUUAUCUACAAUUUAAACCUAUUGUCUAGUUUUAUUCUCGUUUUCAGCAGCAAUUUUUGAUUCGAUGGCCGAAACAAGCAUAUCUGUUUCUUCAUCAGAGAGGAAAUUACAUCCUUUUUUAUCGACUACGACAAUUUCCAUAUUUCUUGAACCCGAUUCAACAACUUCAAGUAGUGCGCUGAUAGCUAAAUUAAUAGUUUCCUCUUUUGCCAUAUCGUGCUUAUAGUUUUUUUCAAGAAACUCCUGCACUGUCUUUGAAUUUUGUCCCACAGCUUGUGCCUUCCAUUCAAGCGCAAUUCCAGAUGGGUCUGUUUGAUACAAACCUGGGCUUCCAUCAUUAUGAACACCUGCAAUCAAAGUAGAUACUCCAAAAGGCCUAACACCACCCCUAUG
rnacentral:antisense_RNA from 1 species